rnacentral:lncRNA from 14 species
CGUACUCUCUCCAUGGAAGCUGUGUUUUACCUUCUGCUUUUCCUGGAGAAAUCUCACUAAGAUCCUUUCAAGCCCAGUCUAUAACAUGCCAUCCCCUUUCGUGGACACUGAGUAAGCACAGUUGGACAGUCUUCUGUAUGAACUGGAGCAGUGUUGUAAGGAGGAUAUGGAACCAAG